UACGGGGGGAGCAAGCGUUGUUCGGAUUUACUGGGCGUAAAGGGCGCGUAGGCGGUCAGCACAAGUCAGUUGUGAAAUCUCCGGGCUUAACCCGGAAAGGUCAACUGAUACUGUGCGACUGGAGUGCGGAAGGGGCAACUGGAAUUCUCGGUGUAGCGGUGAAAUGCGUAGAUAUCGAGAGGAACACCUGCGGCGAAGGCGGGUUGCUGGGCCGACACUGACGCUGAUGCGCGAAAGCCAGGGGAGCGAACAGG
rnacentral:rRNA from 1 species